AUGAUUUUAGGGAAAGAGACCAUCAGUUGGCGCCGAAGAAGCAAUACAUUCCAAGUCCUAGAAUGUAGAAUCUUUCAGGCAAAAGGAUCCCUAAAGGAUA
rnacentral:ncRNA from 1 species